AAAUAUUUAGGGAAUUUAGGUACCGAAGUUUGAGAGCCUCGGUUUAAAAGGGAAGCAGGUGUAAUUCCUGCAUGGUCCCGCCGCUGUGAUGGGGAAAUGUUUCUAUUAUGCCACUGGAAGAGUCUGGGAAGGUAUGAAACAUUGAUGAUCCAGAGUCAGAAGACCUGCCUGAAUGCUACACGCCAA
rnacentral:ncRNA from 2 species